UGCCAGACUCCUACGGGAGGCAGCAGUGGGGAAUAUUGGGCAAUGGGCGCAAGCCUGACCCAGCAACGCCGCGUGAAGGAAGAAGGCUUUCGGGUUGUAAACUUCUUUUAAGAGGGAAGAGCAGAAGACGGUACCUCUUGAAUAAGCCACAGCUAACUACGUGCCAGCAGCCGCGGUAAUACGUAGGUGGCAAGCGUUAUCCGGAUUUACUGGGUGUAAAGGGCGUGUAGGCGGGAAAGCAAGUCAGAUGUGAAAACCACGGGCUCAACCUGUGGCCUGCAUUUGAAACUGUUUUUCUUGAGUACUGGAGAGGCAGACGGAAUUCCUAGUGUAGCGGUGAAAUGCGUAGAUAUCGGGAGGAACACCAGUGGCGAAGGCGGUUUACUGGACCACAACUGACGCUGAGACACGAAAGCGUGGGGAGCAAACAGGAUUAGAUACCCCUGUA
rnacentral:rRNA from 1 species